GAUGAACGCUGGCGGCGUGCCUAACACAUGCAAGUUGAACGAAGCGCUUACAACUAAAUCCUUCGGGAGGAAGAAGUAAGUGACUUAGUGGCGGACGGGUGAGUAACGCGUGGGCAACCUGCCCUGUACAGGGGGACAACAGCCGGAAACAGCUGCUAAUACCCCAUAAGCGCACAGUAACGCAUGUUACAGUGUGAAAAGCCGAGACGGUACAGGAUGGGCCCGCGUCUGAUUAGAUAGUUGGUGGGGUAGAGGCCUACUAAGUCAGCGAUCAGUAGCCGGCCUGAGAGGGUGAACGGCCACAUUGGAACUGAGACACGGUCCAGACUCCUACGGGAGGCAGCAGUGGGGAAUAUUGCACAAUGGGGAAAACCCUGAUGCAGCGACGCCGCGUGAAGGAAGAAGUAUUUCGGUAUGUAAACUUCUAUCAGCAGGGAAGAAAAAAGACGGUACCUGACUAAGAAGUCCCGGCUAACUACGUGCCAGCAGCCGCGGUAAUACGUAGGGGGCAAGCGUUAUCCGGAUUUACUGGGUGUAAAGGGAGCGUAGGCGGUGCGCCAAGCUGGGUGUGAAAGGCCGGGGCUCAACCCCGGGACUGCACUCGGAACUGGCGUGCUAGAGUGUUGGAGAGGUAAGCGGAAUUCCUAGUGUAGCGGUGAAAUGCGUAGAUAUUAGGAGGAACACCAGUGGCGAAGGCGGCUUACUGGACUGUAACUGACGCUGAGGCUCGAAAGCGUGGGGAGCAAACAGGAUUAGAUACCCUGGUAGUCCACGCCGUAAACGAUGAUUACUAGGUGUCGGUGGGUAUGGACCCACCGGUGCCGCAGCAAACGCAGUAAGUAAUCCACCUGGGGAGUACGUUCGCAAGAAUGAAACUCAAAGGAAUUGACGGGGACCCGCACAAGCGGUGGAGCAUGUGGUUUAAUCCGAAGCAACGCGAAGAACCUUACCAAGUCUUGACAUCUGGAUGACAGGGACGUAACGGUCCCCUUACUUCGGUACAUCCAAGACAGGUGGUGCAUGGUUGUCGUCAGCUCGUGUCGUGAGAUGUUGGGUUAAGUCCCGCAACGAGCGCAACCCUUAUCUUCAGUAGCCAGCAGGUAAAGCCGGGCACUCUGGAGAGACUGCCGGGGAUAACCCGGAGGAAGGUGGGGAUGACGUCAAAUCAUCAUGCCCCUUAUGAUUUGGGCUACACACGUGCUACAAUGGCGUAAACAGAGGGAAGCGAGCCCGCGAGGGGGAGCAAAUCCCAAAAAUAACGUCCCAGUUCGGAUUGUAGUCUGCAACCCGACUACAUGAAGCUGGAAUCGCUAGUAAUCGCGGAUCAGAAUGCCGCGGUGAAUACGUUCCCGGGUCU
rnacentral:rRNA from 1 species